CAGACAUCCCGUGUGCUUCCCCUGUGACCUGCCUGUGCUGCCGGGGCCGGGAUGGCCGGGCUGCUGUGCAAGAGGCGCAGAAAAGGAGUGAGUGACCUCCAAGAAGAAGGUAAAAAUGCUAUCAAUGCACCAAUGAACCCAAGCACCGUGGACAUCCAUCCAGAAGAUACACUACUAGAGGAGAACGAGGAGCGCACCAUGAUUGAUCCCAACUCAAAGGAAGACCCCAAGUUCAAAGAGCUGAUCAAGGU